AGAGUUUGAUCCUGGCUCAGGACGAACGCUGGCGGCGUGCCUAAUACAUGCAAGUCGAACGAACUCUGGUAUUGAUUGGUGCUUGCAUCAUGAUUUACAUUUGAGUGAGUGGCGAACUGGUGAGUAACACGUGGGAAACCUGCCCAGAAGCGGGGGAUAACACCUGGAAACAGAUGCUAAUACCGCAUAACAACUUGGACCGCAUGGUCCGAGUUUGAAAGAUGGCUUCGGCUAUCACUUUUGGAUGGUCCCGCGGCGUAUUAGCUAGAUGGUGAGGUAACGGCUCACCAUGGCAAUGAUACGUAGCCGACCUGAGAGGGUAAUCGGCCACAUUGGGACUGAGACACGGCCCAAACUCCUACGGGAGGCAGCAGUAGGGAAUCUUCCACAAUGGACGAAAGUCUGAUGGAGCAACGCCGCGUGAGUGAAGAAGGGUUUCGGCUCGUAAAACUCUGUUGUUAAAGAAGAACAUAUCUGAGAGUAACUGUUCAGGUAUUGACGGUAUUUAACCAGAAAGCCACGGCUAACUACGUGCCAGCAGCCGCGGUAAUACGUAGGUGGCAAGCGUUGUCCGGAUUUAUUGGGCGUAAAGCGAGCGCAGGCGGUUUUUUAAGUCUGAUGUGAAAGCCUUCGGCUCAACCGAAGAAGUGCAUCGGAAACUGGGAAACUUGAGUGCAGAAGAGGACAGUGGAACUCCAUGUGUAGCGGUGAAAUGCGUAGAUAUAUGGAAGAACACCAGUGGCGAAGGCGGCUGUCUGGUCUGUAACUGACGCUGAGGCUCGAAAGUAUGGGUAGCAAACAGGAUUAGAUACCCUGGUAGUCCAUACCGUAAACGAUGAAUGCUAAGUGUUGGAGGGUUUCCGCCCUUCAGUGCUGCAGCUAACGCAUUAAGCAUUCCGCCUGGGGAGUACGGCCGCAAGGCUGAAACUCAAAGGAAUUGACGGGGGCCCGCACAAGCGGUGGAGCAUGUGGUUUAAUUCGAAGCUACGCGAAGAACCUUACCAGGUCUUGACAUACUAUGCAAAUCUAAGAGAUUAGACGUUCCCUUCGGGGACAUGGAUACAGGUGGUGCAUGGUUGUCGUCAGCUCGUGUCGUGAGAUGUUGGGUUAAGUCCCGCAACGAGCGCAACCCUUAUUAUCAGUUGCCAGCAUUAAGUUGGGCACUCUGGUGAGACUGCCGGUGACAAACCGGAGGAAGGUGGGGAUGACGUCAAAUCAUCAUGCCCCUUAUGACCUGGGCUACACACGUGCUACAAUGGAUGGUACAACGAGUUGCGAACUCGCGAGAGUAAGCUAAUCUCUUAAAGCCAUUCUCAGUUCGGAUUGUAGGCUGCAACUCGCCUACAUGAAGUCGGAAUCGCUAGUAAUCGCGGAUCAGCAUGCCGCGGUGAAUACGUUCCCGGGCCUUGUACACACCGCCCGUCACACCAUGAGAGUUUGUAACACCCAAAGUCGGUGGGGUAACCUUUUAGGAACCAGCCGCCUAAGGUGGGACAGAUGAUUAGGGUG
rnacentral:rRNA from 1 species